GGGGUACUGAGGAUUGAACCCAGGAUCUCUUAACACUGAGCCCCACCCCCGGCACUAUUUUGUAUUUUAUUUAGAGACAGUGUCUCACUGAGCUGCUUAGCACUUUGCUUUUGCUGAGGCUGGUUUUGAACUCACCAUCUUCCUGCCUUAAUCUGUUGAGCCACUGGGAUUAUAGGCGGGCGCCACCAUGUCCGGCUCAACAUAUAUAUCCUUUUGAGAUGAGCUUUUUCUUUCUUUAAACUGAGUUUAAUUACCUUGAGAGUCAGCAGUAUAUCAACUGAGUAUAUCAACUGUCCCUUGAAUGUAGCAGUGAACCUCCUAUUUAUCCAUUCUCUGUUUGAAAGACAUUCCAGUUGUUCACACUAUUAGCAUUGAUGCUGCUGUAAACAUACUGGAGCCCGUUUUAGUCUGGACACGUACCUUCAUUUCUCUUGUAGAUAUUUGUAGGACUGGAACUGCUGGAUCUUAGGGUAAAGUUGCAUUUCACUUGCAAGAAAAUGCCAAGCUUUUUACCCAUGUGGCUCCACCAUUUUACGUUUCUACCAAUAGUGUGGAUGUGCCAGGUUCCCCAUGUCCCUGCUGGCUUGUUUUGUAUUUUGGCCAUUCUGAUGGGUGUGAAGUAGCAUCUCAUCUUGGCUUUGAUUUGCAUUUGGUGAUGGUGAUAGUGGUGGUGGUGGUGGUACUGGUGUUGAACCCAGAGGCACUCUCCAUUACUGUGCUACACCCUCAGCCCUUUUUAUAUUUUAUUUAGAGACAGGAUCUUGUUGAGUUGCUUAGGGCCUUGCUAAGUUGCUGAGGCUGGCUCUGAACUCCUGAUCCUCCUGCCUCAGCCUCCUGAGCUAUUGGCAUUACAGGCAUGUGCUGCCUGUAAGGUUUUUGGACUGACCUUUAGGUCAGUCUUUUUUUCUUUGCCUGGGGAUUGAAACUGGGACCUCGCCCAUGCCAGGCAAGCACUCUGUCUUGAGCUGCACUCCAGCCCCAGUCUGUCGACUCUUGGUUUAAUGUGUGCAUGUGACAUGAGGGGGUUCUGUUAAUCAGUCUUUUUUUGAGUGUAUCCAGUUAUUUCAGAACAAGUUAGUG
rnacentral:lncRNA from 1 species